AGGGGAUAACACUUGGAAACAGGUGCUAAUACCGUAUAACAAUCAAAACCGCAUGGUUGUGAUUUGAAAGGCGCUUUCGGGUGUCGCUGAUGGAUGGACCCGCGGUGCAUUAGCUAGUUGGUGAGGUAACGGCUCACCAAGGCCACGAUGCAUAGCCGACCUGAGAGGGUGAUCGGCCACAUUGGGACUGAGACACGGCCCAAACUCCUACGGGAGGCAGCAGUAGGGAAUCUUCGGCAAUGGACGAAAGUCUGACCGAGCAACGCCGCGUGAGUGAAGAAGGUUUUCGGAUCGUAAAACUCUGUUGUUAGAGAAGAACAAGGAUGAGAGUAACUGUUCAUCCCUUGACGGUAUCUAACCAGAAAGCCACGGCUAACUACGUGCCAGCAGCCGCGGUAAUACGUAGGUGGCAAGCGUUGUCCGGAUUUAUUGGGCGUAAAGCGAGCGCAGGCGGUUUCUUAAGUCUGAUGUGAAAGCCCCCGGCUCAACCGGGGAGGGUCAUUGGAAACUGGGAGACUUGAGUGCAGAAGAGGAGAGCGGAA
rnacentral:rRNA from 1 species